GCAGUCGUAGCUGUCGUGGCUGUGAAUACAUCAGAACGAUUGCUGCACAAUCCAUCUUUCUCUGAAUUUCCAAAAUACUAACGUGCUGCAGGAUCAUGUGAACGGGCUGAGUUCAUACAAGCAGCCAUGCAAGCUGAUAGCCUGAAGCUAUGCUAUUCUGGGGAAUGAAAGAACUUGCAUUUCAAGCCAACAUCAUUCUGGUCUGAAUUUGUCUUCACUUCCUGGUGUUAUGGGCUUUUCCAUGAGAUAAGAGGCGUCUUCCAGCUCUCUGACAACAGAGGCGCACAGAGGCUUGCACAACAGUUCACUUUUGGAAGACACUGUGUGGGUGCCGGCAUGCUCAGCGCAUCAGUGUCUUCCACAGCACAUUCUGUUUCCCCUGAUCAGGAGCUCCAUUUUGGCAGGCAGAGUCACCACCAUAACCCUUGCUGCUUGUCUUACUGUGCCACGAUGUCCCCUUUCCCAGCACACUCACUGUGAGCAUAAGCAACUAUUGGAGAACAGGGACAGCAUGGACUGACUGCUUGCUAACAGCUGGGAAACGUACAAGACUGCUUCUCAUUUUUAUCUGUUGCACAUCCAUUGCUGGCUGCACUUAUAGGACUGGGAUUGGGAAACCUGAGUAAACAAUGAACAAAACAUCUAUGCCCCGUUUGUCCUGUAUUGUUGGCCAUAGUCUGUCCUGGAUUGUUCUGACUCAGAAGUGCUAUCACAGAAGCACCUCUGAAGAGGCUCAGGAUGGGGACACCAAAUGCAUUCCCCUAUCACAAAGUAGCCAAUCAUAUUGGUACUUGUAGAUGAAACUGCUUGAAACACCCUGAGCCUCCCCCUGUCCUACUCUUUGCUGCCUCAUGUGAGACAUGGGUUGCAGGUCACCCCAGCAGCUGAGCAGGCAGCCCAUAAUUACUCUUCCUCCUGGACAGAAUUGGACCUUGUCUGGGCAGUAUAAAGCCCACGUGAUCAACUGAAGACAGUAGUAAAAUGAAACCAGGUUUGGCAGCAGCUUGAACGCCAACUUGCUGUUACUCAGGCCCCUUGCCAGAGAGCCAGGGGCCUGAGUCUUUGUAAUCUCGUCAUUCCAAAUCUUAAAAUGUUUGUAUGCUCUGGCUCCAUUUUCAGAAUGACAACCAUAAAUUUCACCUACUGCUGUUUCUGCUAUGCCAUUUCAAGUACUGCUUGUGAUAGAAACAGGUACUCUGAGAUAGCUGGAACUUGUCCUGCACAAGCCACGGUUUGAAAGAAAUCUUGAAAGAAAAAAGCAAGGCUUUAAUAUUUCUCAGGUUUCAAAGGGUUGUUUUACCUUUCCUCCUAAGGACAGCAUACAAAGCUAGUUGCUCAUUGUCUUAGGAAAAUACUCAGGACGUGGUGCUGUCUCAUCUUCAGAAAUCUGCAAAAUGAAGUCAUCACUAUUAAGUUCUUGUCUCUGAAUUCCCAAUUAACACCUUAUAAGUGCUUGAAUAUCUGCUUCUCUUAGGGCUUUCAUGUUGGUCACACUUUCAGUGCAUACAUUGGUAUAGAAAGACAUUAUGGGCUGUUAUACUCAUAACUCCUGUAACAUGAGGACGGUUGAACUAGAUGAUCUUGUGGGUCCUUUCCAACCUUGUGAUUCUAUGAUUCUAUGUCUGUUCCAUAAUCUGAAGCAAAAAUAGAACUAUAUGAAGAAUGAAAAAGCUUCCAGAACUUUGAGAUUUCUAGAAUCAUUUUUAUUCCAGUUCAAGAAAACUUUGACAUGAAGAUGCUCUGCAACAUGAAGCAGUAUCUAGUUCCAGAGAGAUCAAUUCUUUCCAUUUCAGUCUUUUUGUUCUUUUUUGUUGUUUUUUUUUUAAAUGUGUCACAUACAUCUAUAUGAAACACAAAAAUCAA
ensembl:lncRNA